GUAGACUCCAUAUUCUGAUGGGGAAUGGCAUGUUCCCACAGGUAAGAAAGGAACUGAUGGCAGCCGUCUUGGAAAAUAAGCUGCCAUAUUUUUUAUUAAGCUCCAGGUAGUCAUUCAGGGAGUCAACCUGUAACUUCUAAGGUCAUCCCAGGUGUUUCCUUCAUCCCAGACAUCCAGACAUGUGGAAGAAGGAGGGAACAUAUGCAGCAUAUUUUUGAACAUGGCCUGAAAGGGGCACAUAGCACUUCAACUUACAGUCCAUUGACUAGAACUCGGCUACAGGGUCACACCUGACCUCAAGGGAGGCUGAGAAUGGAGCUUCUCUGUGGAUCCAGAAAAAAGAAGACAACAGGGUUCUUGUGAGUUUUCUUAAAAAAAAAAAUCUAUUUGGACAGUCAGAAAUGAGCAAUGAAUGACCUUAUUGUACUGUGGCUGUUUGCCACGCUGAGUGGAAAGCUCCAGAGCCGCAAGACUGACAGGGGGUGAAAAUGCAUCUGAGAAGACAGAACCUUUUCCUAUCUUCAUCAUGUAUGUUUACAUAAUAAAAUCAUAUGCAUGAUUAUCAGA